rnacentral:misc_RNA from 1 species
GUGAAUCAUCGAAUUUUUGAACGCAAAUUGCACUCUCUGGUUUUCCGGGAGAGUAUGCUUGUUUGAGGGUCAGCCUAAAUAAAAUCGGCAAAGUAGUUUGCUGUGUCUUUCACGGUAACGUUGGUCGGAGUUUGGGUUAUCUUAAACUGAAAGGUUUUUAAGCGAUUUAAAAUUUUCUUACGUCCUCCCGAACGUUACUAAGAAUUUCUUG